rnacentral:rRNA from 1 species
GACGAACGCUGGCGGCGUGCUUAACACAUGCAAGUCGAACGGAAAGGCCCUGCUUUUGUGGGGUGCUCGAGUGGCGAACGGGUGAGUAACACGUGAGUAACCUGCCCUUGACUUUGGGAUAACUUCAGGAAACUGGGGCUCAUACCGGAUAGGAGCUCCUGCUGCAUGGUGGGGGUUGGAAAGUUUCGGCGGUUGGGGAUGGACUCGCGGCUUAUCAGCUUGUUGGUGGGGUAGUGGCUUACCAAGGCUUUGACGGGUAGCCGGCCUGAGAGGGUGACCGGCCACAUUGGGACUGAGAUACGGCCCAGACUCCUACGGGACGCAGCAGUGGGGAAUAUUGCACAAUGGGCGGAAGCCUGAUGCAGCAACGCCGCGUGCGGGAUGACGGCCUUCGGGUUGUAAACCGCUUUCGCCUGUGACGAAGAGUGAGUGACGGUAAUGGGUAAGGAAGCACCGGCUAACUACGUG